rnacentral:rRNA from 1 species
AAGGGCACCACAAGAACGCGUGGAGCAUGUGGCUUAAUUUGACUCAACGCGGGAAAUCUUACCGGGUCCGGACACACUGAGGAUUGACAGACAAUCAUGUAAAUUGCGCGCCGCUCACGCGGUACGCAUUUGCAUCUAAAUAUGCUAGUUCUUUCAUGAUUAUGUGAUAGGUGGUGCAUGGCCGUUCUUAGUUCGUGGAGUGAUCUGUCUGCUUAAUUGCGUUUCGCACUGGACCUGAUUUUAAGUGUGCUAUUUUUCUUGUGCCUUGCGCACGAUUUGCGCGUUAUAAAGUUUGAGUGCUUACCCCAGUUAGUUUUCGCGCUUGGCUGUCGCCUUGCUUCUCGUGUGUCGCUGCGGAGAACGUUCGCGUUUUCUGCGCAUGCAUUGAGAGCAGGCACUCCGAGUGCUGCUACUGCGCGCGUAUCAUUCUUACAAGUGUGAAUUCAGUGCUUGGUGCGAUUUGGAAAAGUACGUGCACAUCAUGGUCCUGAAAGCAACGAACGUGACCGCAUCCUCUUGUUGCCUUUUACCUAAACUUGCAGCUUGACUUCCUUUUCUUUGUGAGCUUCGCGGCUCGCAGGGAUGUUACAAGGUUGACUUGCCGCGUUUUAACAAAAGAGGCUCAAAAUUGUUUUUCUUCACGGAAAAAUAAAACUAGAGGGACCGCUGCGACUUUUUUAAACCAGAGGAAGGUUGCGGCAAUAACAGGUCUGUGAUGCCCUUAGAUGUUCCGGGCUGCACACGUGCUACAAUGAUUAUUGCAGUGAGCAUCUAUUUCCAAAACGUCGCUAUCUACAUGACUCGGAGAUCGGUCGGCGGCGGCGCACAAUGAUUUUUAUUUGACUGGUUAGAGAAUGACGAUGAUUUUAUUAUUGUUGUUUUUUAAUCGCGUUGUUUAUUUAUUGUUGUGCUGCUGCUACUAACUGCUAGUUUCUGAGUUCUCUCGUAGAUUCGACUCAGCCUGCUUCGAAAGUUAGCAGGUAAUCAAUUGGAAGUAAUGAUUUCCUUCUUAAAUUCAAGAUUUCUAUUUUGGAUUUAUCGAGCACACAAUAUGCUGCUCCCUUCCAGGUGAGUACCGAUAUACUGUGUAUUUCACCGUUGUAGGGAUGUUUUUUUUUUACAAAAAAAUUUACAGCAUGUGCUUUUUGUCAAUUCAUGGGGGGGACAGACCAUUGUUAAUUGUUGGUCUCGGUCUUAACUAGGAAUGCCUUGUACGGGUCUUUGGUUCAACAAACCACCCGGAAUACGUCCCUGCCCUUUGUACACACCGCCCGUCGCUCUUACCGAUGGACUACUCUGUGAGUUUGAGGGACUGGGUACCUUAUUAUCUUUUCGNGUGCGUGCGUCCUGCCUGCUGCUUGCAGNGAGCGGGAUGCUUGUGUGCGCGAGCGAUGCUAUAAUCACCUAUAGAAACUUAAACGAACAGUGUGGUCUAAAGGAAAGAGAA